CAACAAAAGGAAGCAGGCGUUCAAAUGUUUUCAGCGGUGUUCGGGAAGUCAAGUGUCCGAUUUUAGUUCCAGACACUCGAAGACCAAGUCCCGCUGCUCCCUUUUGUGCAUACAAGAUGGCCACCGUGCUCUCUUCCAUGUGGCGUUCGACUAUGUGAACGGCGGCCGCCCAGAGAGCGCUCAAUUGACGGUUCCCUUUGUAGAUAAUGAGCCAGGAGGGUGGUCUGUGUUCGGUAGUUUAAUCUACCGAACCAAUAAAACUUAAAAUAAACGAAUGACAAAAGAAAAUCUCGAAAUCAAGUCU